AUCUACAAUUGAGGCUAUUUGUCUAAUUGAUCUAUGGACACGAGUGUUUUCCUUUUUGUUUUUAGGUGUUGCUGAAAAGCUCCAUCGGCUUAAUAUCUACGUUGAUGUUCUUUGGAGUUCGGGAGUCAUUGCCCUUGUGACGGUUUUCGGUAGUUUUGGAGUUCCCUUACGCUUCGUACCAUAUCGGCUAUGAGCGGCGAACGGCGACAACAUCUACUUCAACUUUACUUCAUAGGCUCACACAUGGUUUUGUGUUGGAUUUGUUAUAUUUCUUAGUUCCUUAAAGGGGUAUCUUUAUGGAUUGGACUUUUUAAGUUGGGUCUCCGCUUAUAAGCUGAAUUGUUGGUGAAGUGGAAGCUUCCACUGUUGUACCUUU